CCGGGGUCCUUCAUGGGCCUUGUGGGCGUGGCGUGGGGACAGUUCAUGUCCUGGUCGGGGCUUAGGUCCCUCAGGGGUGCCGGACGUUCCAGGGACUGGCAUAGGAAUGACGCCUGAACUCCGUCUGAAGUGGGGUCCAAAGUUGGAGGGGCGUCGAUGCUGGUGAGGAGCCCUGGCUGAGAUAUGUCAGUUUCCUGAGAGGAGGCGGAGCCUGAGGAGGUGGAGGAUUCCUAUUGGAGGGGAAGACACACCGGCUAAACACACCGGCAACACUCAACACUCCUUGGAGUUGGCAUUUGAAAACAUUUUUAAAUAUCUCAUCUCAUCUCAUCUCAUUUUCGUCCGCUUAUCCGGGGUCGGGUCGCGGGGGAAGCAGCUCAAGCAGGGGGCCCCAGACUUCCCUUUCCCGGGCCACAUUGACCAGCUCUGACGGGGGGAUCCCGAGGCGUUCCCUGGCCAGUGUUGAGAUAUAAUCUCUCCACCUAGUCCUGGGUCUUCCCCGAGGUCUCCUCCCCACUGGACGUGCCUGAAACACCUCCCAAGGAAGGCGCCCAGUGGGCAUCCUUACCAGAUGCCCGAACCACCUCAGCUGACUCCUUUCUAAGUAAAGGAGCAGCGGCUCUAAUCCGAGUUCCUCACGGAUGGCUGAGCUUCUCACCCUAUCCCUAAGGGAGACGCCAGCCA